CAAGACCGUUCUGCUGUGGAGUAUGAGGGCAUGAGAUCUGUUGCUGAAUCCCAUCUUUUUGCAGGUGAUUCAGGAACGCAGAGCUGAUGAACUCUCCACCACCAUCACACUGAAAGGUUUUUAUUCUACUCUUCAGUUGAUUUUCUACUAAUGCUUGGAACUUGCAAAAGAUAGAAUAGAAAUCUGAUUUAUAUUUCAUAGGAUAGAGCCAACAAUAUCUCGACCAAUGGUCAAUGAAUAUUACAUAGUAUCUAAAUCCUUGAAUACUCUCUGUUGGAGCAGGUCUCCAUAAGUCGCAGUGAACCUUCUCCAGAGGAGCUUUAGCAACAAAGGUUGAAGGUUGAAAAGGUAAUCUACUACUCUUGCCAAACUGACAUGAUGCACACAUCUCGCUUGAUCUUGAGCUUAUUGAAAUGAGUUGAUUUGCUGACAGGUGCUGGAGAAUCUGCUGAUGAGGAUGCCCAAGUCUCCUAUGCCAAACAACAUCUGAUGCACAAUGCUGCCUAGAGGAGUAGAGAGCUUUUAUUUGAUGAGCGUUCUCCAACUGAUACAACCCGUUAACCUUUCUUCCCUUG
rnacentral:lncRNA from 1 species